UACGUAGGGUGCAAGCGUUGUCCGGAAUUAUUGGGCGUAAAGAGCUCGUAGGUGGCCUGUCGCGUCGGCUGUGAAAACUCGGGGGCUCAACUCCGAGCUUGCAGUCGAUACGGGCAGGCUAGAGUUCGGCAGGGGAGACUGGAAUUCCUGGUGUAGCGGUGAAAUGCGCAGAUAUCAGGAGGAACACCGGUGGCGAAGGCGGGUCUCUGGGCCGAUACUGACGCUGAGGCACGAAAGCGUGGGGAGCAAACAGG
rnacentral:rRNA from 1 species